rnacentral:rRNA from 1 species
GACGAACGCUGGCGGCGUGCCUAAUACAUGCAAGUAGAACGCACAGUUUAUACCGUAGCUUGCUCCACCAUAGACUGUGAGUUGCGAACGGGUGAGUAACGCGUAGGUAACCUGCCUGGUAGCGGGGGAUAACUAUUGGAAACGAUAGCUAAUACCGCAUAAUAUUAAUUAUUGCAUGAUAAUUAAUUGAAAGGUGCAAUUGCACCACUACCAGGUGGACCUGCGUUGUAUUAGCUAGUAGGUGAGGUAACGGCUCACCUAGGCGACGAUACAUAGCCGACCUGAGAGGGUGAUCGGCCACACUGGGACUGAGACACGGCCCAGACUCCUACGGGAGGCAGCAGUAGGGAAUCUUCGGCAAUGGACAAAAGUCUGACCGAGAAACGCCGCGUGAGUGAAGAAGGUUUUCGGAUCGUAAAGCUCUGUUGUAAGAGAAGAACGGGUGUGAGAGUGGAAAGUUCACACUGUGACGGUAUCUUACCAGAAAGGGACGGCUAACUACGUG